rnacentral:lncRNA from 1 species
GGGUUUUUGUUUUUAUAUUUUUUGGUCAUUCCCUCGUGUGCAUGUAAGUGACAGAAGGUACUCAUGAGAUUAAAAGAGAAACAAGAUUAAGUUGAGUGAUUCCAUUUUAGUUAAUCAUACCAAUAUUUGAAUGAAAUGAAUGCAUGCUUGAGUAAGAAAGCAUGAAAUGAAGUGUCAAAUUAAACCAUUGGUAUAAUUUGAGAUGGAUGGUCA